CCCUUUCGAGGCAUGUGCACGCCUGAGCUCUUAAAUCCACAACACACCUGUGAACCCACCGUAGGCCUUCGGGCUUAUGCAUAUAUACUCUGAAUGUGUCAUAGAAUGUUCAUGUUGCCUUAAAACGCAAUCAAAUACAACUUUCAACAACGGAUCUCUUGGCUCUCGCAUCGAUGAAGAACGCAGCGAAAUGCGAUAAGUAAUGUGAAUUGCAGAUUUUCAGUGAAUCAUCGAAUCUUUGAACGCACCUUGCGCUCCUUGGUAUUCCGAGGAGCAUGCCUGUUUGAGUGUCAUUAAAUCCUCAACCCCACCGAUUUGCUUCGGGGGGAUUGGACUUGGAGCGUGCUGGCGAAGGUCGGCUCCUCUUUAAAUGCAUCAGUGGAGAAAGAAAGCUCGUCCCAGUGUGAUAAUCCUGUUGCGCUGUGGUGGGGUGAAAAUUCCGCUUCCAACCCGUCCUCCGGGACAAGACAUCUCAAUUUGACCUCAAAUCAGGUAGGACUACCCGCUGAACUUAAGCAUAUCAAUAA
rnacentral:rRNA from 1 species